AAAUUGAAGAGUUUGAUCAUGGCUCAGAUUGAACGCUGGCGGCAGGCCUAACACAUGCAAGUCGAACGGUAACAGGAAGCAGCUUGCUGCCUUGCUGACGAGUGGCGGACGGGUGAGUAAUGUCUGGG
rnacentral:rRNA from 1 species